rnacentral:rRNA from 1 species
GACGAACGCUGGCGGCGUGCUUAACACAUGCAAGUCGAACGAUGAAGCCGGAGCUUGCUUCGGUGGAUUAGUGGCGAACGGGUGAGUAACACGUGAGCAAUCUGCCCUUGACUCUGGGAUAACUGCGGGAAACUGUAGCUAAUACCGGAUACGACACCUUGGGGCAUCCCAGGGUGUGGAAAGAAUUUCGGUCAAGGAUGAGCUCGCGGCCUAUCAGCUAGUUGGUGAGGUAAUGGCUCACCAAGGCGACGACGGGUAGCCGGCCCGAGAGGGUGACCGGCCACACUGGGACUGAGACACGGCCCAGACUCCUACGGGAGGCAGCAGUGGGGAAUAUUGCACAAUGGGCGCAAGCCUGAUGCAGCAACGCCGCGUGAGGGAUGACGGCCUUCGGGUUGUAAACCUCUUUUAGUAGGGAAGAAGCGAAAGUGACGGUACCUGCAGAAAAAGCACCGGCUAACUACGUGCCAGCCGCCGCCGUAA